GACGAACCGAGCGAACGUUGUUCGGAAUCACUGGGCUUAAAGGGCGCGUAGGCGGGUGCUCAAGUCCGGGGUGAAAUCCUCCAGCUCAACUGGAGAACUGCCUCGGAUACUGGGUGCCUCGAGGGUGGUAGGGGUAUGCGGAACUAUCGGUGGAGCGGUGAAAUGCGUAGAUAUCUGGAGGAACACCGGUGGCGAAGGCGGCAUCCUGGACCGGUAUUGACGCUGAUGCGCGAAAGCCAGGGGAGCAAACGGG
rnacentral:rRNA from 1 species